rnacentral:rRNA from 1 species
GAUGAACGCUGGCGGCGUGCCUAAUACAUGCAAGUCGAGCGAACAGACGAGGAGCUUGCUCCUCUGACGUUAGCGGCGGACGGGUGAGUAACACGUGGAUAACCUACCUAUAAGACUGGGAUAACUUCGGGAAACCGGAGCUAAUACCGGAUAAUAUAUUGAACCGCAUGGUUCAAUAGUGAAAGGCGGUUUUGCUGUCACUUAUAGAUGGAUCCGCGCCGCAUUAGCUAGUUGGUAAGGUAACGGCUUACCAAGGCAACGAUGCGUAGCCGGCCUGAGAGGGUGAUCGGCCACACUGGAACUGAGACACGGUCCAGACUCCUACGGGAGGCAGCAGUAGGGAAUCUUCCGCAAUGAGCGAAAGCCUGACGGAGCAACGCCGCGUGAGUGAUGAAGGUCUUCGGAUCGUAAAACUCUGUUAUUAGGGAAGAACAAAUGUGUAAGUAACUAUGCACGUCUUGACGGUACCUAAUCAGAAAGCCACGGCUAACUACGUG